rnacentral:tRNA from 2 species
ACCUGGCUGGCUCAGUUGGUAGAGUAUGGGACUCUUAAUCUCAGGGUCGUGAGUUCAAGCCUCACACUGGGUG